rnacentral:rRNA from 1 species
CCCAGAGCUCAACUCUGGAACUGCCUUUGGAACUGUCANUCUAGAAUCUUGGAGGGGGUGGUGGAAUUCCUAGUGUAGAGGUGAAAUUCGUAGAUAUUAGGAGGAACACCGGUGGCGAAGGCGACCACCUGGACAAGUAUUGACGCUGAGACGCGAAAGCGUGGGGAGCAAACAGGAUUAGAUACCCUGGUAGUCCACGCCGUAAACGAUGAGUGCUAGCUGUUGGGACCUUAGGUCUCAGUGGCGACGCUAACGCAUUAAGCACUCCGCCUGGGGAGUACGGUCGCAAGAUUAAAACUCAAAGGAAUUGACGGGGACCCGCACAAGCGGUGGAGCAUGUGGUUUAAUUCGAGGCAACGCGAAGAACCUUACCAGACCUUGACAUGCCUCUCGCGGGAGAUAGAGAUAUCUCCCUUCAGUUCGGCUGGAGAGUGCACAGGUGCUGCAUGGCUGUCGUCAGCUCGUGUNNNNANAUGUUGGGUUAAGUCCCGCAACGAGCGCAACCCUCAUCCUUAGUUGCCAGCAUUUAGUUGGGCACUCUAAGGAAACUGCCUGGGUCAACCAGGAGGAAGGUGGGGAUGACGUCAAGUCUUCAUGGCCCUUAUGGUCUGGGCUACACACGUGCUACAAUGGCAGUGACAAUGAGCAGCGACCCCGCGAGGGAUAGCUAAUCUCCAAACACUGUCUCAGUUCGGAUCGAACUCUGCAACUCGAGUUCGUGAAGUCGGAAUCGCUAGUAAUCGUAGAUCAGCAUGCUACGGUGAAUACGUUCCCGGGUCUUGUACACACCGCCCGUCACACCAUGGGAGUAGGUUCUACCUUAAGCCGGUGCGCCAAUCUGGCAGCCGUCCACGGUAGGAUUUAUGACUGGGGUGAAGUCGUAACAAGGUAAC